rnacentral:rRNA from 1 species
AUGGAACUGCCUAUUGCGCUGCGAAAGGGGGCGCGCGAAGCAGUAAAGAAGGCUUUACCACUGGAUGCUCUUUAUGAUCAUGAAAUUGGCAAUUUUGUGCCUUGUGAGGCUUUAUCUCCUUCCUACAGAGCGUUUUGUCUCUCUCUACAAACAGUGACAAUCCCAAAGGAUUGGAAGGCUGCAAAGCAAGAUCCGAAGUGGCAUGAAAUGAUGAUAGAGGAGUUGGAAACACCGAAGAAAAACAAAACGUUGGCACUAACCACAUUGCCGGCAGAAAAGAACAUACUGAGUUGUAAGUGGAUCUAUACCAUGAAGCAAAAUCCUGAGAGAAAGGUGUAA